UUAAAGAGGCUGUCAGUCGUUCAGGUGGAGAUAAAUGACAAUGUAGUGUAGCUAACAACAACUUUGUGUGUGUGUGUGUGUGUGUGUUUUUUAAGCAUUGAAUGUGGUUUUUUUUUUCGACAAAAGCAAAAACAAAAUGUUCGUCUCUUUGCUAUCCGCGUUGAUUUUUGUCAACAGCCAAAUGCUUGGAGAGUUCGCUGCCGCCAUCGGAGCCAGGACUGGACCUGCUUUGAAUGUCGAUGACAAGAACUUUUCUCACCGAAUCAGGAACAUGAAUCUUGAACCAUUUCAGCUCCAGCAUCAAAUACUCGAUCCUCCACCAGGUUCUAAGUUUAGUUUGAAGGUCCAAGUUACUGAAAUGCUGAGUCAUCAGUACCUGAACCAGGCAAAAGUGGACGUCUAUGUAAACUACACCAGAACCAGCACAGCUCUUACUGGGGAUGAUGGUGUUUUGCUCCAAGUACCUUUCCAAACUGGAUUGCCUAUCACGAUCGUGGCCAGCAGGGACGGCUACAUUUGCCGAGUGUUACCAUAUAGAAUCACCAAGACACCAAUAUUUUCAUCAGUGACCAUGCCACUGCUGGGUCUUACUCAAGGAAACAUCUGGCUGUUUGAAGAUACUUUCCUUGUAACCGACAAAACAUCUGACGCUUCAUUGAAGCCCAUUGUCCAGUUUCCCAAGAGCCUGCUGAACCUGACAGAGAGCAGUGACGUUGCUUUUAUUCAAGCCUACUUGACAAUCCCCAAGUUGCCUUCAGAGGAGGGACACUUCCUCAACACUUUGGGCAUCAUAAGCAGUAAAUCAGGAUAUAUCAGCAUGGAGUUGAAUCCAGUGGCGGCCGUCAGUGUGCGAAUUUUCUCCAGGAACACAGAGUUGCAUAUCAGUGGACCCAUAAAGAUCAGCUUAACUCUUCCUGACAGCUGUGGACUUCAGUCUUCAAAUGUAGUUCCAGCGUGGUUAUAUAACCAGACCACUGGUGGUUGGAUGAGACAAGGAUUAGGGACUGUGGUGUCUAUGGAUGGGAAACUGUUUUGGACAUGGACAGCUCCUCAUCUUGGUGACUGGAUCGCUGCACCGAUGCCAACUAGUGGAGAUGUCUUUGGAACCGGCAACUUCAGCGACUUCUUUGUCCGUUAUUCAACGUUCCUGACGGUUAUCCUGGGAGCGGUGCUUCUUAUUUUUUCCUGUCUUCUCAUUGGAUUGUUAAGUUAUCAGAGAAGCUCUGCGAGGGACACUAAGAGGAAGCAGCUCUUACCACUGACAAGAAAAGACCAAGCCACUACCACAUGCAACAGUGAAGACAUUGUAGAAUCAUCUGGUCAUGCCACUCCAUCUCAGCAUGGCCUGAAAGAAUUAUUUACUGAAAUGAGCGAUAACCAACACAAUGUUACUCUUUCCAUCUACAACGCCAAUAUCAUAGCCAAUCCCAGUGCUUUGGCCGCGAGUGCCGAAGCUAAUGAUCUGGUUCAAUCACACACUCCUGAGAUGAUAAAAGUUCCAGCCUCUCUUACAGACAAUUUAAUAUUUUACAACCAGCCUGUUGCCAUUCUUCAUGCGUCAGCAUUUUUCCAAGUGGAAGAGCAAAUGGAGCAGCCUCACUGGAGCAAGGCAGCCACUCGGACACCUGCAGUGGCUUUGAAUGGUGAAUCCACAGAAAAACUGCCCGAAAAAAAAUGCAUUCAAAAUUUGCCAGCCGUCUCCACAGCUACCCAGACCCAAGAAGGAGAAAGCAAAGUUGACAAAUUAAAGGAUGCUCAGGAUCCAAUAUCCCCAAACACAUCUAGAAGUCAGUGUGGUCUACUGGAAUCUGCAUCCGUCCCAGAAACGUUAAGUAAAAUGAGAACCAGCAGACACUCAAUGGAUGCUGUGGCAGAACUUUCAAAAACACCCUCGUCUCAACCACCUCGGGCCUGGUUUGUCACACUUGAGGGCAAACCUGCAGCCGAGAUCCAUUAUGCUGUGGCAGAAGAGCAGAGGAGGCGGAGACCAGCGGAAAGUCAGGAAACUAGUUUAGAUUCGGGUGUGGAUAUGAUCGAGAUGAACCAGACACCCUCAAGGAGAGCUGGAACACUGGAGCGGAAAGCUACUUUUGUUAAGAGAACAUCUAGCAGCAAACAAACAACAUCACAGUAAAGCUGUGCUUCUCUCACAGUGGGAGCCAUGUUGAACUGCCAGCGGGAGCGUGAGGGUGGGGAGCAUUUAGUAAUAGUGCAGACAUGCUAAACAUGUAUGAAUUCAUACUCAGCAUGCAGUUGGGCUCCUGAAUACGCUAGUAUGUGUCACUGCUCUCAAAUAAUAAAUAAUAUGAAUAUAAGAAGAAAAAAAGUGACACCCACUGCAGUAAAGCAAGAAGAGGUUCUUGCACCAUCACAUGAACAGCAUUUCGGCCGCUUGCCACAUUUCCCUUGUGACAAGGUCAUAACACACACACACACACACACAACUCCUACAACAAUCCUUAUGUUAAUCCUACAACUAAAAUACAACACUUAUUAACCAACUACUACCCUGGGGAUUUAAGGUUGGAGCCAUUCCUAGAUAAUAGAUCCCAUUGGAUGGUUUUGUUAUUCUUCAGAGGUUCAGUUUCCAUCAGGCCAAUGGAGUUGACUGACUGUAGUUGGCUACAUCCAUCCACUGGAGGGCAGCCUUACACAAGGUUUGUUUGUGCAAUUGAUGCAUUACUUUCACCAUCAUAAUGCGUAAUAAAUACAGCAGCUUAAUUGAUUUUUUUUAAUAGACUAUACCAAGAAAGGGCUUCAUCAUGUUUAUUAUAACAGUGCCCAUGUUGUAUGUAAAUUAUGAAAAUCUGUUUUAUGGCUUGAAUGACUGUACCUUUUGUGAUGGCCUACUGCAUAUUCUGUGGUGUGCGUCUGUUGAUGCUCCUACUCUGUUUUUCUGUUCUGUCCUUCUAGAGUGGCUACUGGCACUGCUGAGUAAAGAAGUUGAUUCAAUGGAAGUAAAUAAGGGAGGGCAGUACUGCAGAUUCUAAUACUGAUAAUUUUUUGGUUAAAUUUGUCAAGAUUAUUAAAUGAUAUUGCCUUUAUUUUGUGGACCAUGAUUACGAACAAUAAAACAGUGCAAUUUUUUCAACUAUAUAAAUACAUCAAUAUAGAACAAUGAAACAAUAUUAACUAAAUAAUUGAGCAAAAUAAGUAAGCAAAAGCUAUUGGCUCACAUUCAAUUCUUUGGAUAUUUUGAUCCCAAAUCCUUUCUGGUCCAAGGAUUACAGAGUUUAAAAAGCCUGACUUGAUUCAGAUUUUGUCAGAUACCGAUUUCUUUUAAAUAACUGACAUAGGCCUUCAGCCUUCCAAUCUUAUUUUGUUGAAAAACAUCGAACAAUUCCCGGGAUGAAACAAUACAAAGUCCACAUGAGGUAUUUCUCUCUGCUAUGAUGGAAAAGUUCAGAAAAAUGCUGUCCUAAUCUGUUCCUUCCUCUACCUUUUCUUUUUUCCACACUUCAAAAACAAAACUUACACAAUACUUACAGGUUACACUGCAGACCUGAUAUGAGCCUCUUACCAAAAAUAUAAUCCACAAUGACAUCAAAUGCCAUGAACUCCCAUAUUUUUUGUCAUUCUACUGUAGCUUUGCUCUUUUCACUACUAAGCAGGUCGCUGCCUGGCUGCAGCCUUAGCUUCACUACUAGCUGUCAGCCUGGCAAAGUAAAAAGGGGACUGUGGCAGACUUUCAGAUCUUUGCGAAGGCAGAUUACAUCACUGGAUAAGAUCCGUUUCAUGUGUAAUAGGGUCAGCUGAUCUCCCAAAAUGAAGGAAACAAGCGCUGUGCAUGCUUAUAAACCAUUUCACAAUAUACCGUAUACAUUGGUACUGCUUUGCUCCCACAUCCCAAAAGGUCAAUUGGCAACUCUACAGGUAAAUUGUCCAUAUGUGUGAAUGGCUGUUUGUCCAGAUGUGCCAUCCGAUUGGCUGGCGAGCAGUCUGGGGUGUACUCCAUCUGUCACUCGAAGUCAGCUGGGAUAUACUCCAGCAAACCCCCGUGACCCUAAUGAGAUAAGCGGCAUAGAAAAUAGAUUAAUGCUACCGCUUCAAAAGGUCAGACUGCAACUGAAAUGUAUGAAAACUGAAGCAAUGCACUGUGACAUAAAUUACGGGCUGCAACUAAUGAAAACUGAAGCAAUGCACUGUGAAAUAAAUUACGGGCUGCAACUAAUGAUAAGCUUCAAAUUCAUCGACUAAUAAUGCUAUUAGUUGGUUCGGCCCUAGAGCAGGGGUGGGCAAACUACGGCCAGGGGGUCACAUUCGGCCCACUAACCGUUUUCAUCCGGCCCGCCAGUUGGUUUCUAAGUAUUUCAACUUAACAUACAAACUGGCAACAUGACUUGCAAGUCAAAUGUCUUAUUUAGUAAAAAAAACGAAAAAAAAAUAAAACUGUAAAAUUAAAUUACAUUGUUUGAUGUGGUCUGAAAAAAAGGGGCAUGAAAACAUACCACUGAUAGUAUAACACUUCUCCAGGUAAAAUUAUAAGCAUAAAUUGUGAUGUUAGUGUGUUGAUAUGUUCUGGCCCCCCGGACAAUUUUGUUAACUCAAUGUGGCCCACAAGUCAAAAUAUUUGCCCACCCCUGCCCUACAGGGACCAUAUCAAUAUGGAAAUAUCAGAGGAGGCAAAAAUGUCAAUCAUUGUUUACCAAAGUCCAAUUUUUAUUCUUGCUUGAAAAUGAAAAAUGCUUAAUUUAGUCUAAGAACAUGUAAACUUUUCUUAAAUAUGCAUCUUUUUUGACUAAUAGACCAUAGUCCACCACAAAACAGUGAUAAUUUAUUAAUGUACUUAAUAAAUUAAGCAUACAGUUCAAUAACAGGAACUGAAGUAGUGACAUAAGUUGAAAGGAACAUUCAAGGUGCAUGCAGCACCAAAUGUGACAUCUAGAAGAUCAACAGGACGGGGAAAGGCCUAGGUACUUGCUGUCAAAUACAAUAGGUAACUGGACAAAUACUGACAUUUUAUUCAUGACAGAAAACUCAGGGUGUGUGUGCUGUAGUAGAUAAGCUGGAUGCAUCUCCAGCGAACUGUACAUUUAUUGUGAACAGAGGAGACACAUUACUCCCGUAACACAAAUUCCCAAACCAAUAUACACACAGUAGUGUAUUAAAAAUACACUUUUGCUUCAGCCUACUAACACAGUUUGCAGGUGUUUUUACAGCCGUGUCUUAAUGGGAAUCAUUUUGACAAUGUUGUUUUACUUUAACAAUGAUAAUGUUUUUAUUAAAUAAUGUGGAGCCCGGUAGAUCCCUCUUACUAUGAACAUUCUUGAAUUGCCAACUUGUUCAAGCAAGGAUGAGAUGGGCAUCUCUACAUGGGCAUUUUCAGAAUAGUAUUUCUGAAUGCACGAUUGUAAAGAGUCCUCAGUCACCCACACACAUUCCGUUUAAAAUAGAAUGACUUGGUGUGAAUGGCCUCAGAAAUAGCUCAGAGUUAAAAGGGGCUGUAUAUAGAUACCCUGGGAGAUUCCCUUCCAUCUCAAGUAACAUCUCAGUUCCCUCAUUUUGUUUGUGUCCCUCAUAUAGGUUAUGGCACUGCAAGUCCUGUGGAUUGUCUUACUUAGUCAUUUCCUUUGCCACAAAUACCAUCAUUAACUGCAAUAUGUAGCUUCUCCCAGCCAUGGCGAAUAUUCUUCAAAAACAAAUGCAUGAGGUGAAAAAUUUAGUUGAGAAGAAAAAUAUGUACAACAGUGUUACCCAGUUAGUUUUCUCAGUCGCUGUAUUUUGCAAAGAAUGCUAUGCUUUGGGUUUUUUUUCUGAACAGUGUACUUCCAGCGUAAAAAUGGGGGAGUGCACUAAAAUAUGAUAUUUCUUCUAGGUUGGCAGGUCUCAAAAUGCCACUGGCUUUGAAUUGGUCAAAUUAUUAUUUUUUUUUUCAAAUACAAGUCCAGCUCUCUUCAGUGGAUGUGACAGCUGAAGAAGUACCAUCAGUGAAUUCUAAUGUGAAGAGAAAGACUCGCUUCACAAUAAGGGUGGAUCAAAGGUGGUUGCUGAUGUCGAAACUCUGCAAAUAGCCAGACUGAUUAAUAACUGAUACAACUCAGUUCAUUACAAAAGGGCCCUUGUGCAAACCUACUACAAAUGUUGCUCAUAAAUUUAAGAUGGAAUGUCUUGCAGUGCUUUUUUGGCUUGGGGUACAAAUUCAGAGCAGCUGUUUCUCAUGCUGUUUCUGGUUUUAAUGUAUGUCACCCAAAAUAAAAAGACAGAGCAUCCUGAUGACUGGCUGCACAGAUAUUCUGUUUUAUGGGUGUAAAAUAAGUCAUUGUAGUCUUUUUUUUGUGCAAAAAUGUAACGUUUAAUCAGAGUUCACUGAAUUUUUUUUAAAAAGACUAGAUGCACCAAUUGUAGUAGAAAUUGCAUUUGAAUCAUGAAAUGCUGAAGCCGAACUGAAAUUCAACACCCUAUUCAACAACUGAGGAUCAAACCAGCAACCAUCAGUUUGGGAGGCGCCCACUCUAUGACUUGAGCCACGCCACCAUGCACAGAAUACGCACUAUUUUACAUGUAACUUUAAAUGUACUAAAAUGAAUGUCCACCAAUAGGGUGUGAUAUUGACAUUUUAUAUCCAUCCACCCAUUUUAUGAACUGCUUAUCCUCACUGGGGUUGUGGGGUAUGCUGGAGCCUAUCCCAGCUGUCUAUACACCCUCGACUGGUCACCAGCUAAUCGCAGGGCACAAAAGCAAACAACCAUUCACACCUGCAUGAAGCAGUUGAAACCCGUGGGGGCUGUUUAUGCACCAAAAAGGCAGAAAGUAAAAGUAAGAAUGGAGAAUGAUUGUUGAACUGUAUAAAUAUGUUAAAUGGCAUAUAGUGGUGUGCAUGAGUGUGAGAACCAGAAAGCUCCGUCUCAGUGGGAGGCUGGUGUCAUUGCAGUGCCCCUCAGACAGAAUGUAUUAUGGGAGAACUUUGGUUUGUUAAUUUAAACUUUUAUUGGUACAUGUUUUUAUAUUUCUCAGGUAUACCUUUUGAGUGUAAAUUUGAUGUGUGAUGAUGUGUUCCAAUUUUAACAAAAAAGUAGCGACUUGUACAACGGAAGUCAUAUAUAGACAUGUCUGCCUGUGUGUCAUGAAACUGAAUAUCAAACAUAUUAGAGAUAUAACAUCAGUAAAUGAGUGAAAGACCAACAAGCCAAGAACCUGCAUGUUUAUUGUACUGCUCUUUCUCAUGCUUGUCUAGCUGUUAAGGUCUCUGAUCUGUACGGCAAUACAAGAUCAUCGCUGCUUUUCAGACAAGGUUACCCAUGGCUCAGCUGUACAAAUAAAAGGAAGCCUGCUACAUGUUGGAUUUAUGUGUUUGAGCUGCCAUGUUUGUGAUUUGCCACCUGUAUGCAGAGAUAAGGGUCGGCUUUGAGUAUUUUAACCAUGCUUGGGUUGUGGAUGUGAACUAACAUCUGCUUCAAUGUGCAUUGAUAAUAGCUCAACAACAAAUAAAUUAGCACAUUAAAAUGAUGAAAUCCCACGCAGCCAUGAAAAUAGGACUGGUGUAUACAUGAAGCCAUGGCUUAAAAUGGGGUAUGAAACUGCAGGAAAUGUUCUAAUGUCCGCUUAAUUGAGCCAAACGACGUUCGAGGGUGCAGGGAGGUCAGGAAGAUGAGGCUAUAUUUAGCAUUUAGUAAUGGAACAGCAGUGGAUCUCUGCUUGCUUUGCAGUUCAAUGUGCAACACAGGGGUUAAGUUGAUGCAUGUACACACAACAGGAAGCAAAUCCAAAAUAAGAGCACAGACCAGGAACUGAGCCAAAACCCUGCGGCUCAUGAAAUUAUAUUGACAGCAUGUAAACAAAACAGUCCCACUCAGUAAUAGUUAUAUUUAAAGUGUGAUGAAUUCAUGCAAAUUAAUCAUGAUUACAUUAAUUUGCAAUCUGGGUUCCCUUGCAAGUUCCCUACAUCGUGACCAAAUGCACUCAACUUGAUUAAAACCAUUAAAGGGGACCUAUGAUGCUUUUUCCACUUUUCUGACCUAUAAACAUAGUUAGAAUUUUAUUGUCACAUGUAUCCAACAUAAUUAAAAAAUAUUGUUACAAAAAAAGGCUUAAUGAGGGUGGGAGAAGAGGACAGGCUGCUGAGCCUCCUACCAGACCACAAGUAUGGGAGGUUGACUGAAGGAGCGGUGAAUGUCCAGACUCCUGGCCUUGCUUUCUAGCUCACCAUCAGUGGAUUCAAUCCCACAGGCCUGUCCCACAGGUCAGAUUAACAAGGCUAAUGCUAACUUAAUCUUAGCAAAGCAAUUCAUUCCAAUCAAAUAUAUUUUAUACACACACAAAACCUUCCAAAACUUCUUGGUGACAUUGUGGCAAUUGUUGGAGUGCUAUUUAACUCACCAGUUCAGCAGAUUCAAUAAACACAAGAAAACAGGUCUCCAGCAAAAUGACAAUGGUCUGUUGCAAAAUGGUUGUUGGUUGAACCAACAAAAUGGUUGAAUUGUUUAAAAGACCAUGUGAUGUUUAAAAGCUACUAAACACUGACCUGCAGUUGAUGUCCCUGGCUUCUCUUCCCACGCAACUGAGGCGCAGGAGGGCAGCUUAUAUAGUUUCUUAGUAAUUGAACAAUUGAACCCAGGUGAGCAUGUCAUGGUGCCUUCAAGGGCCAAAGAGAGUAUGGGGGAAAACGCUGAGGCUGAGGAUUUUGAUCCUGUUACAUUGUAUUCUCAUGUUAAACGAUGCCAGUUUCAGAUAAUGAUAUGGAAGUGAGCCCUGAAAGGUGUUUGGGAUGGCUCAAAACACUUGGUUUCAAAAGUGUGGUAAAACUGCCCCUUUGUGACAUCACAGAGGGAUGGACUUCCUUAUAUAUAAACUCUCUGCCCUACCCCAAGCACUGCUCCUGUUUACUUGCUAGCAUUGCCCCGUACGGGAAAGCCACAUUUGUUUACAAAAGACGCACAAAAGGCACAAGGGGUUGGAGUUCCUGAUUCCCUACCAGCAAAAGAAAUACAUUUUAAUCUGUCAAUGGCAUUUCACACUGGGCACUUUCACACUGUUUUGUGAAUAUGGGCCACCAUGCAGCUGGACUAGCUGACAAACUUGCUGAAGCCCUACGUCUUUCCAAUGUUACUUGGUUGUGUGGCAGAGUCAGAAGAGCAAGCAGUAAGUAACAGUCUAUCAGUGUCCCUACUGUGUUUAUUUUGUGUACGUCAUGGAGAAAAAGCGCCUGGCUGUAUAACAUAGAGGAAGUGGGCUUGUAGUUAGAUGUAGUUAGAAUUUUAUUGUCACAUGUAUCCAACAUAAAUAUUAAAAAAAUAUUGUUACGAAAAAAGGCUUAACCUGAGUUUUUUACGCACUGGUAGUCCCACAAAACACAUUACACGUUACCGAUGUUGUAGGAAAUGCUAAAAUGCUAAAGCUACUUACCAGUUGAGAGACGUUUUGAAGUAACCUCUUUUCUUGAGAAAGUCAAACUGUCUAGUCUCUACUUUCAGAUCGGAUUUGGGAUCCAACACAUAUGGCUGUAUGUUAAAAGCGUAAAACUCCUAUAUUGUUUAUAAACUCCUAUAAAGUUGGCGGCACAAACGCGUAGUCUUUCUAUACACCUGGGAGUGUGACCAACCCCAGCAGAGUGGGUGUACCUGGAGGUGGGCAGUGGGGGGAAUACAUUAAAACGGACCGUUUUCCAAAGAAAUACAACUGAAUGGGUGCAGAUUCUGGAAGAACUCUUUCUGUGUUGGUUACCAUGUGUAGCUGCUCUAUAGGAGUCCACAACUCAAUACAAAGGGACGAAAAAUGAGCACAAUAGGUCCCCUUUAAAACAGCUCAUUUGAAUUACAAGCUAGUGUAUCAUUUCUGUAUCAAGCAAGAUAAACAAAAAGGAACGUGUCUGCUUUAUUUGUAUUAUCCCCAUCCCUGCAACAUUUAGUACCCCGGGGACAAGAAAUGAUGAUGGUUUUUGGCCUGCUUGCACAUUUCACAAGCUGAGUCCCCUCUCCUGUCUGUUUUCAUCAUCAACACCUGGUGCACUAAUGCUAGUUCUUAUGUAACGCUGUUGGCCGUCGGUCUGUAGUCGCAAAACAUGUCAACCUCUUGACCAUCCCACUGCCUUUCUUUCUAUGCAGCAGGAACUCCAAGUGAAAUAAAUCAUUUGACUAGAUACAGGUGUGUGAAUUAUUCAAGCACAUUAACAUGUAGUUGGCCUAAAACUUAUGACCAAGAAAUGCUGACUAUGCAGCAUUUUCUAUACAUAAAUAUAUAUGUCUUGACUUUGGAGAGGUGGGGUUCCUGGUUUUCAGAGAAAAUGACAAAUAAAAUGUCUAUUUUUGGCGUCUCCCACUUCAGAUCCUCCUGCGAGCUUGACAUCGUCUUUCUUCUCUAAUUUGAGUUCAACAUUUGAAAUGAAAGUGACACAAAAAGUGAUUACAUUGGAAACAUACCAGACGGGAGCGCUAGUCAGUAUUUCAAUUAAGUCUAAAGUCUUUAAUCUGAACAAGUCUUGAAUAAGGAUGUGAGGAGAAAGCUCACCCAGAGGCAGCUCUGGAAAAUCGAAGCAAGCAACAUCAGCUUCAUCAGAAGAGCUACAGAGGAUGCGCUCCCAUCGCCCAAAAACCUUCACCAGUGACCUAACCUGUGUCCUCUGCCCAAACCCAGCGACCCUCAAACACAUAUUGAUCAGUUGUUGGACCAGCCUCACACAAGGCAGCUAUACUUGGAGGCACAAUCUGGUCCUCAAGACUGGCAGCAGCCGUUGAGAGCAAGAGGAACCUAAAGCGACCAAUUCCAUCUCUGGGCCAACAUUUAUUCAAGAUGGACAGAAACAGCCUAACCAUCCUGCUAUCAAACCAGAAGUUGGUUGGACAGAUAGGCAUAGGAAGAUGCCAGUUCAUAUUGGCAAGCACCAAGACAUUGCAACCACCACCCUAAGACUAGACUGGGUGCUAUGUUCUCCUUCACUAAAGAUGGAGAGGAUUCCACAAAAGAGGCCUACGACGAAAGAAACUGUGCUACACAGACCAGGCCGCAGAUCCACAAUGAUGACGAUGGCUGCCCAAGCUCUGUCCAGCUGAUUGAAGUAGGAUGCAGAGGUUUUGUGUCUUCCUCUACCAUCAGGCUCCUGAAAGAUCCUGGCAUCCAUGGACCUGCUCUGGGACACACAAUAAGAUCAGUCUCUGGAGUGGCCAAAAGAAGCAGCCAGUGGCUAAGGAUCAAGCGGCAGGACCCUUGCUGGCCUCAAAGCAGAGGGUGCUAUUUUUGUUUUGGUCUGUUAGUUAUUUCCUGGUUCAUAGAAACCAAGACAAACACACAACAUUUUUAUUUGUUUUUUUUAUUGGUUGUUGUGCCCAUCCACAAGCAAACAAAUUUAGAUCAGUACAAUAUGUCCUGCCUUUGUACUUGGACUGACAGUGACGAUGCUGCAGCGGCUGUUGUGCAUAACAUCACUGACUCGCUUGAUAGAAAACAGAACGAUGCUUAACUCAUUUGACAUCCACCCCAGGCUUUUGAUACCGGAAUGACAUCACCUUGUUCGCACAUCUUUUGUAAAUAUCUACAGUACCUUGGAUGUCAGUACAGAUGUAUUCUCUCACCUUCCACAGAUUUUACAGAUUGUUUCAUGGAGAUGAGCUGUGUCUGUGUGUAUCUGUUCACCCAUUAAAAUGAUCUGUAUCCGUAACUGUACUCAAAAUGGGCAGGGCAUAAACAAGAAGUGGGUGUAAUUUUCCCCAAAAAUGGGCGGGUCAUGAACCAGAAGUGGGUAUGCUUAAUUGAAUAUAGGCGUGAGUUAAAUCUGUACAUUAUUUUAAGUCUGAAAUUAACAUGGAUUGAUGAGACAUUGCUAUAUUUAUUACUAUUCAGCUAUAUGUGUACUGUGUAUGUGUGUAAGUCAUCUGUCAGACUCAUUAGCUUUUUUAAAUCAACUUUCAGUUUUUUCUUAUUUACUUUUUUACUUUUUUAAUGUAUCGUUCACAGGCCCAUAGAAAAUGCUGGAGCCUAUCCCAGCUGACUUUCAGCAAGAGACAGUGCAGCCAAUCACAGACAAUUGUUGACACUCUUCCCGAUCUACUGAUUGUGUGGCCAACAUGCUAACCACUAAGCUAUGGCCGUCAGGCCGCACUUUGGACACCCCUGAGUUAGAGUACAUUUUCGUUUGAGUCGGACCUUCUGGACUGGAUUAAUGACACCAACUGUAUUAUAAAUCUUGUUAGUAUAAUGGUGAAAAUUAUGAAAGAUCUGAGCUAAAUUGAACAUAUUUGUCGAAUCGUCGCUUGCAUAAUGCAUGUUUGUUAUAUUUUGAACCCUUUGAAAAUGCAUUGUAACACCUGUCAAUUUUGCAAAUUCUCUCCAUUAUUUAUAUAUGUAUGUAGUAUUUUUUUUAUCUACAAGCAAAAACAAAUUGUCACAGUUUGAAUCAUUCUUGUGAUAUUAAGACAU